rnacentral:lncRNA from 1 species
UGGGGACGGUGUCAAAACAUUGAUUAUAGAUAAAAAUUAAAUCAUGUGCGUCUUGGUGAAUUCAAAUCACAUUUUCGUAACAUCCUAAUAUUAUGACAUUUGCUUUUGUGAUAUUGUUGACUAUCAUACGACUUGAAAGUUGUACGCGUGCAAUAGUGGGUGGGAUAGAAAAAGGGGGGUUGAGAGUUAUACAAGUUCAUUCGAUUCUAGAUUGAUUAUAUAUACAUAGUAAGCCAGUUAGACAAUAAUUGUAUUGUUGUAUUACAGUUCAUGAAAAAGUUUAAUGUAUGGCUUUAUUAAUCCC